UACGUAGGUGGCAAGCGUUGUCCGGAUUUACUGGGCGUAAAGGAUGCGUAGGCGGACAUUUAAGUCAGAUGUGAAAUACCCGAGCUUAACUUGGGUGCUGCAUUUGAAACUGAGUGUCUAGAGUGCAGGAGAGGUAAGUGGAAUUACCGGUGUAGCGGCGAAAUGCGUAGAUAUCGGUAGGAACACCAGUGGCGAAGGCGGUUUCCUGGAGCCCACUUGACGGCUGAGA
rnacentral:rRNA from 1 species